UACGGGGGGGCAAGCGUUGUUCGGAAUUACUGGGCGUAAAGGGCUCGUAGGCGGCCAACUCAGUCGGACGUGAAAUCCCUCGGCUUAACCGGGGAAUGGCGUCCGAUACUGGAUGGCUUGAGUUUGGGAGAGGGAUGCGGAAUUCCAGGUGUAGCGGUGAAAUGCGUAGAUAUCUGGAGGAACACCGGUGGCGAAGGCGGCAUCCUGGACCAACACUGACGCUGAGGAGCGAAAGCCAGGGGAGCAAACGGG
rnacentral:rRNA from 1 species